rnacentral:rRNA from 1 species
AACGAACGCUGGCGGCAGGCCUAACACAUGCAAGUCGAGCGGAUGACGGGAGCUUGCUCCUGGAUUCAGCGGCGGACGGGUGAGUAAUGCCUAGGAAUCUGCCUGGUAGUGGGGGACAACGUUUCGAAAGGAACGCUAAUACCGCAUACGUCCUACGGGAGAAAGCAGGGGACCUUCGGGCCUUGCGCUAUCAGAUGAGCCUAGGUCGGAUUAGCUAGUUGGUGAGGUAAUGGCUCACCAAGGCUACGAUCCGUAACUGGUCUGAGAGGAUGAUCAGUCACACUGGAACUGAGACACGGUCCAGACUCCUACGGGAGGCAGCAGUGGGGAAUAUUGGACAAUGGGCGAAAGCCUGAUCCAGCCAUGCCGCGUGUGUGAAGAAGGUCUUCGGAUUGUAAAGCACUUUAAGUUGGGAGGAAGGGCGUUUGGCUAAUAUCCAGGCGUUUUGACGUUACCAACAGAAUAAGCACCGGCUAACUUCGUGCCAGCCGCCGCCGUAAAAC